AACGAACGCUGGCGGCAGGCCUAACACAUGCAAGUCGAGCGGACAUCUUCUGAUGUUAGCGGCGGACGGGUGCGUAACGCGUGGGAACGUGCCCUUUGCUUCGGAAUAGCCUCGGGAAACUGGGAGUAAUACCGGAUGUACCCUUUGGGGGAAAGAUUUAUCGGCAAAGGAUCGGCCCGCGUUGGAUUAGGUAGUUGGUGGGGUAAUGGCCUACCAAGCCGACGAUCCAUAGCUGGUUUGAGAGGAUGAUCAGCCACACUGGGACUGAGACACGGCCCAGACUCCUACGGGAGGCAGCAGUGGGGAAUCUUAGACAAUGGGGGAAACCCUGAUCUAGCCAUGCCGCGUGAGCGAUGAAGGCCUUAGGGUUGUAAAGCUCUUUCACCGGGGAAGAUAAUGACGGUACCCGGAGAAGAAGCCCCGGCUAACUCCGUG
rnacentral:rRNA from 1 species